GAGUUUGAUCCUGGCUCAGAUUGAACGCUGGCGGCAGGCCUAACACAUGCAAGUCGAACGGUAACAGGAAGAAGCUUGCUUCUUUGCUGACGAGUGGCGGACGGGUGAGUAAUGUCUGGGAAACUGCCUGAUGGAGGGGGAUAACUACUGGAAACGGUAGCUAAUACCGCAUAACGUCGCAAGACCAAAGAGGGGGACCUUCGGGCCUCUUGCCAUCGGAUGUGCCCAGAUGGGAUUAGCUAGUAGGUGGGGUAACGGCUCACCUAGGCGACGAUCCCUAGCUGGUCUGAGAGGAUGACCAGCCACACUGGAACUGAGACACGGUCCAGACUCCUACGGGAGGCAGCAGUGGGGAAUAUUGCACAAUGGGCGCAAGCCUGAUGCAGCCAUGCCGCGUGUAUGAAGAAGGCCUUCGGGUUGUAAAGUACUUUCAGCGGGGAGGAAGGGAGUAAAGUUAAUACCUUUGCUCAUUGACGUUACCCGCAGAAGAAGCACCGGCUAACUCCG
rnacentral:rRNA from 1 species